rfam:Larimichthys crocea isolate SSNF unplaced genomic scaffold scaffold1016, whole genome shotgun sequence.
GCUUACAGCUAUACCACCUUGAAUGCGCCCGAUCUUGUCUGAUCUCGGAAACUAAGCAGGUUCAGGCCUGGUUGGUACUUGGAUGGGAGACCGCCUGGGAAUAACAGGUGCUGUAUGCU